AUUUGUUGAUACUGAUAAAGGUGGUUUCACCAAGCCACAGAACUGCUUAAAACGUAAACCGAAACAGGUACCACCUUGGUCAUCCAAAUAAUACCACAAGCAUCCCCCCAUGCACACACACCAUGACCACUAAUGGGCAGUUAUAUGACAAAUGGCAAAGAAGCAACACAAAUCGCAAGCUAUGAUAUGGAAAUUCGGAAUUUACAGGGAAAUAAAAGCAGUAUCAUUUCCCAACAAAACUAAAAGAACAAACAAUUAGAGUAUGAAAAGGAACAUUUAGUGGUAUGUUUGCAAAGACUCUCAUUACUAAUAUACCGCAGAAUGUGAACUGGAAGGACAACAUGGGGAGGGAGAACUAAUAGCUUAAACGGUCCGUUUGAAAAAUUAGGCGUUGCAAAGUGUUGUGCGUUUGAUGAAUACAACUUCCAGCUAUCCACGUUACAAAAGCUCGACAAAUAGUAUUUAC